rnacentral:rRNA from 1 species
UACGGAGGGUGCGAGCGUUAAUCGGAAUUACUGGGCGUAAAGCGCACGUAGGCGGUCGGAUAAGUCGGAUGUGAAAGCCCUGGGCUUAACCUGGGAACGGCAUUCGAUACUGUCCAGCUAGAGUAUGGGAGAGGGAAGCGGAAUUUCCGGUGUAGCGGUGAAAUGCGUAGAUAUCGGAAGGAACAUUAAUGGCGAAGGCUGCUUCCUGGCCCAAUACUGACGCUCAGGUGCGAAAGCGUGGUGAUCAAACAGG